UCAAUAUCCCCCGGAAACAGGCGUGUACAUUGUAAUUGAAAGUAACCCGGAUGUUCGUCGCUCUGCCACGUCAUCAAUCUUCCCGGAAGAGGACGGAAUCCAUUCUAAUUGAACGUAACCCGAGUCUUCGUCGCGUCCCUGCAAGAUGCCGGAGCACCGCUUCGGAGGAGUUCUCUCCCAGCUGUGGUACUAAUUGCGGCACAGAGACGAGUGCGGGCCAGAUGGAGGGGAAGAUAGCGCAAAUUGAUUCCCCGCGUUUGUCUUCAUUAAGCUCCCGGCCCAGGGG